rnacentral:rRNA from 1 species
GUGAAUCCCUUGGCUUAACCGAGGAAGGGCAUUUGAAACUGCCGGGCUUGAGUACGGGAGGGGGAAGUGGAAUUCCCGGUGUAGAGGUGAAAUUCGUAGAUAUCGGGAGGAACACCGGUGGCGAAGGCGGCUUCCUGGACCGAUACUGACGCUGAGACGCGAAAGCGUGGGGAGCAAACAGGAUUAGAUACCCUGGUAGUCCACGCCGUAAACGUUGGGCACUUGGUGUUGCGGGUAUUGACCCCUGCAGUGCCAAGGGCGAAUUCCACAGUGGAUA